CCUACGGGUGACAGCAGUGGGGGAUAUUGCACAAUGGAGGGAACCCUGAUGCAGCGACGCCGCGUGGGUGAAGACGCGCCUCGGCGCGUAAAGCCCUGUCAGCAGGGAAGUAAAUGACGGUACCUGAAGAAGAAGCCCCGCCUAACUACGUUCCAGCAGCCGCGGUAAUACGUCGGGGGCAAGCGUUAUCCGGAUUUACUGGGUGUAAUGGGGGCGCAGACGGUGGUGCAAGCCAGGAGUGAAAGCCCGGGGCCCAACCCCGGGACUGCUCAUGGAACUGCGUGGCUGGAGUGCAGGAGGGGCAGGCGGAAUUCAUGGUGUAGCGGUGAAAUGCGUAGAUAUCAGGAGGAACACCGGUGGCGAAGGCGGCCUACUGGACUGCAACUGACGUUGAGGCCCGAAAGCGUGGGGAGCAAACAGGAUUAGAUACCCUGGUAGUC
rnacentral:rRNA from 1 species